rnacentral:lncRNA from 1 species
CCCUAAACCUCAUCAUGGUUCAGCAGCAGGACAAGCUGGGGGCAAGGCUAUCACCUCACACAGAUUCAGAUCCCAGGUCAGAAGGAAGCACCCAGGACCAGAGGCCCCUCCAGCCCCACAGCUGCUCCUGCGCCCACAGAGGAUGUACAGCCCCACUCAUGUGGGUCCAUGCAAGAGCUCAGUGCGGAUCGCUGCAGGAAAACAUAUAAUGGAAAAACCAGCCAAGGUCAGGUUGCCGUGCCCCUGUGAUUUCUGUGUCCAUCCAAACUAAAAGAACUUGAUGGCUGAACAGCAGGCUUUGAACUCAUCUAACAGUCUGACCUUGGUGCUCUCUUAAACUGAGUGAACACUUCUGGACAACACGCUGAUGUGUAUGUUGGGCAUCUGUAUGUUUUCAUGCUCACUUGUGGUGUCUACAUAGGCCAUGAAACUAUGGGCCAGAGCUGCUCUGAGGAGCCAGAAGAAGAUUGCUCCCAGACACACUACAAAGCUUGAAGCUCACACUCAUCACAAUCUGAGCCUGGCUUUGUGGUUUAUUGGAGGAGAGGACCUGAAGAUAGCGAGGGUUUGCAUGGCUCUGGUGAGACUGAGAGCACAGCUGAGAUCCUUCCACAGGUAUCCUCAAUUUAGUUUCCCUCUGUCAGAGCAGGGUGAGUAUAAUUAAAGACAUGGGCUUCAGCUGUUGUGCUGAUAGCCUCACUCAGGGAGCAUAUCUAUCCUCCAUCCCAGUUGGCAAGCCUUUUGCUCAGCCUGGUGGGUGCUGGAAGGACCACUUUGUCUUCACCAAGGUUCUGCUGUCCCAGGAUGUGUGCAUGAGUCAUUGUCUGGAAAUCCAAGUGGCCAGAUGUCCGCCAGAUACCGCUGCACUCGAGUUGCUAACUCCCCCAAACAGGGGAAGGGGCCACUCCUCCCUGCAGAGCUGGCGGGCAGGUGCUUUCCUCACCAUUUCUCAGAUAGAUUUUGAUCCACUUUUCUUCACAAAGCUGAAGAUUUCACCUCAAAUCACAACAGCACAUAUCGUGCAGGCUUGGAAGGGUUUUAUUUCUAAACUUAGAGGCUAAAGCAGUACAUAAUUGUGGAAAGUUUUUAGAUUUCCCUGAAGGAGCUGUGUAAUGGGGUCAGAGCUUAUUGGGUCAUGCUGUAUGCGGAUGGUCCAAAGAUUAGGAAUUAAUUUAACUGGCACAUGAAUAAAUUGAGUUGAAACUGAAGUCA